GACACAAUUCAGUUCAGGGGACGUCCAGCUAUGUGGCCGUCGACCCUUCCCUAUCUUAGUUAGCUAUUUUUAGUUUUCUUAGCUGUUUUUCCUUCUGGUAUUUCCUUUCUUUAGUCUCCAGUUUGGAGUUUUAAGUACCCCUCUUAGAUGGGGUUUUUGUUUGGGUCCCUAUGGUCGAUCUGCAUGCUAGUGAUCUGAAGAGUGUAGCCAGUUGAGGGGUUUUCUUUGCUACUUGGUGAGAAGUAAGAGUUGGUUUCCUAGGGCUCUCCCUGCUAGCUGGCAUAUCAAGGGUAGAUCCAGUGCCAUUCAAGUGAUUGCUGAUCUCUGAUCCCUAUGAGCUAUAUGAGAUUGAGAAGCCUGAUCACUACUAGGCCUCUCUCGGUUCACCAGCAUCCAUGGUUCUAGUUUAUCAAUUUCGGCUUGGAGAUUGGCUUUUUAAUUGCCUGUGCCUUGGAGUUGAUUUGUGUUGGGGUUCCAUGCUUCAGUCGGGGAUGGGGCCGUUUUAGCCUGCAUGUUCGUUCAUGAUGGUGGAGUUUUCCUCUUUCUGUGGCUAACGACUCUGUGGCUUCUAGUGAUCCUAAUGCAGUGACGAAGGUUCCUUCUUUUCUUUGCUGUUUUGGUUAAGGUUUCAAGUGAAAAAUGGGCUUGGGCUUUUGAUACGAGUUUUAAAGUUAGCCAUAAUCUCUAAGUGUAAUGGGCUCAGUUCUGGACUACGAACUAUGUAACAUUUGAUUCCAUCUAUGAUAUAUGCUAUUUCUGAUUAAAA
rnacentral:misc_RNA from 1 species